AUCGAUGAAGAACGCAGCGAAAUGCGAUAAGUAAUGUGAAUUGCAGAAUUCAGUGAAUCAUCGAAUCUUUGAACGCACCUUGCGCUCCUUGGUAUUCCUUGGAGCAUGCCUGUUUGAGUAUCAUGAAAUUCUCAAAGCGAAUCUUUCGUUAACUCGAUGGACUUUGCUUUGGACUUGGAGGUCUGCGGAUUCACAGUCCGCUCCUCUCAAAUGCAUUAGCUGGAUCUCAGUGAGCUUGGUUCCACUCGGCGUGAUAAGUAUCACUCGCUGAGGACACCCGUAAAAAAGGUGGCCAGGGUCGCAGGUGAACCGCUUCUAAUGGUCUAUUGAUUUAGACAAUAAAUCUUUAUUUAAUGAUCUGAUCUCAAAUCAGGUAGGACUACCCGCUGAACUUAAGCAUAUCAAUAAGCGGAGGAAAAGAAACUAACAAGGAUUCCCCUAGUAACGGCGAGUGAAGCGGGAAGAGCUCAAAUUUAAAAUCUGGCGGUGUAUUCCGUCCGAGUUGUAGUCUAGAGAAGCGUCAUCCGCGCUGGACCAUGUACAAGUCUCUUGGAACAGAGCGUCAUAGAGGGUGAGAAUCCCGUCCUUGACAUGGACUCCCAGUGCUUUGUGUUGUGCUCUCGACGAGUCGAGUUGUUUGGGAAUGCAGCUCAAAAUGGGUGGUAAAUUCCAUCUAAAGCUAAAUAUUGGCGAGAGACCGAUAGCGAACAAGUACCGUGAGGGAAAGAUGAAAAGCACUUUGGAGAGAGAGUUAAACAGUACGUGAAAUUGUUGAAAUGGAAACGCUUGAAGUCAGUCGCGUUCUCUGGGAUUCAGCCUUGCUUCUGCUUGGUGCACUUCCUAGUCUACGGGCCAGCAUGGAUUUCGACCGAUGGAAAAAGGCUUGGGGAAUGUGGCACCUCCGGGUGUGUUAUAGCCCUUUGUCAGACACGUCGGUUGGGAUCGAGGACCUCAGUGCACGCUUCGGUUGUGCUUUGAUGCUGGCGUAAUGGCUUUAAACGACCCGUCUUGAAACACGG
rnacentral:rRNA from 1 species